rnacentral:rRNA from 1 species
GAUGAACGCUGGCGGCGUGCUUAACACAUGCAAGUCGAACGGUGCAGCAGGAGCUUGCUCCUGUGGAUCAGUGGCGAACGGGUGAGUAACACGUGAGCAAUCUGCCCUGUGCUUCGGGAUAGCCAGCGGAAACGGCGAUUAGUAACGGAUAUGACAUGCUCCUGCCUGGGGGUGUGUGGAAAGUUUUUUCGGCGCAGGAUGUGCUCGCGGCGUAUCAGCUUGUUGGUGGGGUAAGGGCAUACCAAGGCUUCGACGGGUAGCCGGCCUGAGAGGGUGGCCGGCCACACUGGGACUGAGACACGGCCCAGACUCCUACGGGAGGCAGCAGUGGGGAAUAUUGGACAAUGGGCGGAAGCCUGAUCCAGCAACGCCGCGUGAGGGAUGACGGCAUUCGGGUUGUAAACCUCUUUCAGCACCGACGAAGCGAGAGUGACGGUAGGUGCAGAAGAAGGACCGGCCAACUACGUGCCAGCCGCCGCAGUAACAC